rnacentral:misc_RNA from 1 species
AAGUCGUAACAAGGUUUCCGUAGGUGAACCUGCGGAAGGAUCAUUAAUGAAUUAAAGUCGGUCUUCUGUGCUGGUGGCAACACAUGUGCACGUUGAUCGCAAAUCCACACACCUGUGCACCUUUGACUCUGGGAUCUGCUUGUCUGACUUGCAGCUGACUUGGCUUUGUGCCUGUCUGGGUCCCAGAGUAAUUUUUACACACUCUGAAUGUAAUGGAAUGUAUCUGUGCAUAAUGCGCAAAAAUACAACUUUCAACAACGGAUCUCUUGGCUCUC